rnacentral:rRNA from 1 species
UACGGGGGGAGCAAGCGUUGUUCGGAUUUACUGGGCGUAAAGGGCGCGUAGGCGGCCACCGCAAGUCAGUUGUGAAAUCUCUGGGCUUAACCCAGAACGGUCAGCUGAUACUGCGGGGCUAGAGUGCAGAAGGGGCAACUGGAAUUCUCGGUGUAGCGGUGAAAUGCGCAGAUAUCAGGAGGAACACCAAUGGCGAAGGCAGCUCGCUGGGACGUGACUGACGCUGAGACGCGAAAGCGUGGGGAGCAAACAGG